ensembl:lncRNA
AGAAUACAACCUAGCUCCUACUUGAGAGAACCAUGGAGCAGAUUUCAAUGUUCCUCUUCAUACAUCUUGAAGCCCCAGUGAGGGUUUCUUUACCUCCUCCUCUGGAGAACAGCAUAACUGCAGCUUGAAGAGGACCAUGGUUGGGAUGUUUCCAAGGUUGGUUUCUGAAUCAGGUGGACCUAUAAAUUAUACCUCGGCCUGAGCUAGGCUUUCAUCACAGCACAGAAGUCUUGAUCCACAGGGCCCGCCAGCCAUCGUACUCUCGGGGUUAGGAAGGGCAGCCACGUCGCCGACUCUCAUGCUUAAGUAACCAUUUCCAAAGAUCUUUUGGUACAUUUCCAAACUUCUGUCCAUCCGGAGGCCAUCAUCCAUUGUUUCAGGCAUCUAUUGCUCUUUCCCAUCGUAGACCUCGUUUGUCGUGACGAUCUGAGCCGGUUGGCAUCAAUCAGUCAGUGUCUGUACCACUCACUUUGUUUCCGUGGUGAUUUGGUCGGGCUGAACUCAUCCAGAAACGUAGCUGAAAAGUCAAAACAUAUAAUGGGCCUCCACCUAAAGCAACAGUUUCUUGAGGGGACCAGAACCCUGACCAGGCUCACACAAACCAUUGGCCAGGUUAAAAGCUGACCACUCACACACCAUUUGCCAGGUUAAAAGCUGACCACUCACGAACCAUUUGCCAGGUUAAAAGCUGACCACUCACACCAUUGGCCAGGUUAAAAGCUGACCACUCACACAAACCAUUUGCCAGGUUAAAAGCUGACCACUCACACGAAGAACCAUUUGCCAGAUUAAAAGCUGACCACUCACACGACGAACCAUUUGUCAGGUUAAAAGCUGACCACUCACACAAAGAACCAUUAGCAUGUUAAAAUCUGACAUAUGAACCUCAUGCAUGGUCGAACUCUGACCAGGCGCACACAUGUGUGAAGGAAAUACGAAUUUAAGACUUUAUUAACAAGCAGUAUAGACAAACAUUAUUUACAUUUAGGACAUUUGGCAUUCAACAAAGGUGUCCUUCUCC